UCAAUAUAUUUCUCUAGUCUGUGGACCACCUUGGAGCGUGUUGACUCUGACAGUAAAGUAAACAUUAGCAUGCAUGAGUCAAUGAGCAGCACAGCUUGGAUUUCGGAUAUUUGAAACAGUACUAUCUAUAGACAUACGAGGCAGGGCAGGGCAGGCCACACGAGCUGGUGUUGACAAUGACUUGAGAGGGCAACAUAGCUCGCCAGAUUAUCAGUCUAUCAGAGGUUGUGGGUGCUGUGCUUUGUGUAUUGUUCAUGGGCAGCAUGAUUGCCUGUGGGGAACCAAGAUGAAGACCCGUCCUUGGUAACCAGAAAAUCGGGCCCUUCUUGGCAGCCUGGCAGCAUGUUGCAGGAGAGUGCCCUUGCUGCUUUGCUAGGUAUGGUUCCUUCUGAGAUUGGGAAGCUCUCUUAUAGUUAUAUCAAGCAGAAUUAAGCGUGGUAAGUAUACCUGUACGUUUGAAUGCUUGCGUUUAAAUCGGGCUGCACUGAAGUUUGCAGGCAAGCAAUGUUUAACUUUUGUGUCUUUCUCUCCGACUUGUAUUCCAGGGCCUUGGGGUUAACAAUAUGGUAAAAUCUGACCAAACCAGUAACACUAAUUUUUAAAACAAGAAGUUAGCUUCGCAGAUCUAUUACUAUAUACUGUUAAAUCCAACUUAACUAAUAUCCAAGCAAACACCCACUUGCUUUGUCUCGUGUUCCACCCGUUUACUGAUCAGGACACAAACUUCCAUUAAUCCUUGUUCUGAUUGGGAAAAAAGAAGAAGUUGUGUUUUCUAUGCUCUCUUUGAACGGUUUUAAGCUGUCAAAUAGAAUUAGGCGCACCCAGUGUUUGCUCUUCCAUCCUUUUUUAAAGAGUAGACAAGAUUUUAAGAUGCUAUAUGUAGUGUUCGUUAACUUAAUUACACAUACACAUGAUCUUAGUUGUCUUGUAGAUUCUGAAUUAUAGGAUAUAUUGCUUUCUAAGAUUGAUUUCAUCUUUCAAGUCCCUGAGUUUAUUAGAUCAUGAUAUGCUUUAGUCUGUCCGAAUUUGAGUCCAUUAUGAUUAAGUUGACUAAAUGAUCGAACCACACACUCAAGUAUACGAACACAAUUUCCAUAAACUGGUGUAAUUUUCUUUGGUUAAGGGGCAUAAGCAUGCCAGGCUACUGCAUCUGCACGAAACCCUUUUUGUUUUUUAUUUUUACAGAAUGCAGACAAUAAUAUAUGUGUAAUAGAGUGCGAGACACCCUAAGCUUUGGGAACUCAACUAGAUUAGAGACAAAGGGUGAUAAAGUUAAUCUAAGAAAUGCCCCUUUGAUGAACGUGUGUCCCCAGGUUUAGUUUGGAGUGUCUAAUGCUGGGUUUAUUGUACUGUUUAUACUUUUGAAAAAUGGUCUGGUUGUACUGGACAAGGAGGUCAGAGUUGCACGUGAAGGUCUCGUGGUUUACAAUGCCAUUGCCUGUGAGAGACUCAAUGCAUACAAAUUGUUAUUUUUAUGUCAUCAGGAAGCUUUGAAUCAAUUAGUUUAUUA